rnacentral:rRNA from 1 species
AUUGAACGCUGGCGGCGUGCCUAAUACAUGCAAGUCGAACGAGGUGCCUUUGUAGCAAUACGAAGGUAUCCUAGUGGCGAACGGGUGAGUAACGCGUUGGUGACCUACCCCAAAGUGUGGGAUAACAGAUCGAAAGAUCUGCUAAUACCGCAUGUGGUCUUCGGAUUUAGAAACUGAUGACUAAAGGAGCAAUUCGCUUUGGGAGGGACCUGCGUCCCAUCAGCUAGUUGGUGAGGUAAUGGCUCACCAAGGCUACGACGGGUAGGGGACCUGAGAGGGUGGCCCCCCACAAUGGAACUGAAACACGGUCCAUACACCUACGGGUGGCAGCAGUAGGGAAUAUUGCACAAUGGGCGAAAGCCUGAUGCAGCAACGCCGCGUGUGCGAUGAAGGCCUUCGGGUCGUAAAGCACUUUUCUGAGGGAUGAGCAAGGACAGUAUCUCAGGAAUAAGUCUCGGCUAACUACGUGCCAGCAGCCGCGGUAAU